UAAGUACUAGCUGUAGCUAAGAACGUUGAGAUAUACUGAUGUGUUUGUUCGAAACACGCGGAGGGUUGAGAGAUUAAGGAUUGUUAUCUAGUACUAGGUGUACGAAAGUGCAUUAGCGCCCAUAAGAUUAGGGCACGUGAUUGUUGGCGAGUAUGUAGAUUACGGUUAGUGUAAUCAUUGGCCACAUUGGGGCUAGGUACAGGGUUGGGGUUGGGAUUUACAUCUCGUGACCUAUGACGAAUAAUUGAGUUGGCCUUAUCAUUUAGCACUAACCAUCCAGUUAUAGAUCAGUGAGCCAAGGCCCUCGUAUGUAUUUUAAGGAAAGGGGAAAUCCAGCCCUUCUAUUUAUAGAAUCUAUGUAGGUCUAUCGCUUCGACCUAAAUUUUAUAUUUAAUCUAGCUGUUAGUUGCAUAUUUCCACUGGUAGUGUGUUGCCUGUUCUGUUUUCCUAUAUAAUACAGUAGAUUUUUUUGUUAAAGAGAUGAAGAGGCUGUUUGCACCAUUCUUUGUUGACCUCAGUAGUAAGGCAUUGCCUGAAUAUGCGGUCUCUCAUUACAUAGACGUUUACAUAGAAAGAAUAUCAAAUGGUAGUCGAUUCAUCAUUGAAGAUAUUUCAAAAGAUCUUUUGGUGUCAGCACUUAAAGACUUGAUACAGGAUCAUGAUGGUAUACCACCCAAUCAUCAGAAACUAUUUUAUAUUGAUGGUAAUAAUGAUCAACAUACUCUGAAGAGUCAUCAUAAAUUAUCUUACUAUCAUGUUACUGAUGGGUCUACUAUAUAUUUAGCUGAUCUCAGAACUGAUGAUGCUUCACCUCGCUUGAGGAGACGCUAACAUGGUUGUUCCAAGACCAGAGUUACAUCUAGUAAAAAUCUAUAACAUUUACUGUGUAAUAUUUGAAAAUGAUAUAAAUAUUAAAUUUGAGGGGGUGGGGUGGGGGCACUAUUCACAGAACUAGUUAGGAUUCGUUUGUUCUAAUGUUCAUCCAUGUACCAAAACAUUUGCUCUUAUAUAUAUUUCUUUCUAUAACAUUUGUCUAUUAUAUUAAUACAUAUUUCUUUCUAUGAUUUUGUAAUUUUUAAGGAAAUAAUUCAGUCAACUAAUUUAAGAUGCUAUGUAGAUCUAGACUUGGUUAAUCGUGCUAUCAAUUCAUAGUGCUGUGUAUAUUACAAAUGUUGCUCUAGACUUGGUUAAUCUAGCUAUCAAUUUUAAGUGCUAUGUAGCUCUAGGCUUGGUUAAUCCAGUCAUAAGUUUAAAGUGCUAUGUAUAUUGCAAAUGUAGAUUUUGUUACAUUACCCCCGAGUUUUAAUACCCUAGUCAAACCUAGUAGUUCUUUAAAUACCCUAGUCAAAUCUAGUAAUAAGGUUGUCCUUUAAUCCCCUAGUCAAACCUAGUAAUAAGGUUGUCCUUUAAUACCCUAGUCAAACCUAGUAAUAAGGUUGUCCUUUAAUCCCCUAGUCGAACCUAGUAAGAAGGUUGUCCUUUAAUCCCCUAGUCGAACAUAGUAAGAAGGUUGUCCUUUAAUACACUAGUCGAACCUAGUAAUAAGGUUGUCCUUUAAUACACUAGUCGAACCUAGUAAUAAGGUUGUCCUUUAAUACCCUAGUCAAACCUAAAACCCCAAUUUAUUGACUCCCAGAAUAAUGGAGGUCUGAAGGCUAGAUUAACGAGAUUAAAUAACGCCUUGCACAAAUGAUAUUGACUGUUUGUUUCUCUGGUGGCAUCCAUCGUUGUGUUUAAGAUUUAUUAAAUCCAGUCCGACAUCUGUUGCAUGUCCGUAACAAAGCUGGACAUAUUUCCAGGUAGGCCUACGACUAUUGAGAUAUUUCUUCAACUUACUUAUGAAAAAGAACCCCCUCGUGGCAUCCUUUAAAUUUGGUUUUUGUUUAUUUAAGAAUGAUAUUAGAUAAUUAAUCAAAUCUGGCAUUGUUUGGUGGGGGGGGGGGGGUGUAUUUAUGCCAGUGGUUAAGAAUGAUAUUAACGAUAAAUCCAGUCCAGACCUACAUUGCUUUUGUUUAAGAAUGAUAUUAAAUGAUAAAUUAAAACUGAUAUUGUUUUUGUUUAAGAAUGAUAUAAGAUAUUAAAUUAAAUCUGACAUUGUUUUUGUUUAAGAAUGAUAUAAAUUAAAUAUGACAUUGUUUUUGUUUAAGAAUGAUAUUAAAGCGAGAAUUUCAUAUUUUCUAAGAAAGUCAAAACGUAAUUAUUCCUAUGUCUUUUGCUGAAUAGGUUGUCAACUCACUAUUAUAAGUCAUAGCUAUCAUUCUCACACUUAAAAAUCAUUCACCCCGGAAACAAUAACACAAUUACCUCCCUUAUUUUGCUAUUCCCCACAUGGAAUAGCUAUCUUCAAACGUUUGAAUUUGAAGUUGAAAAUGACAUUUUUGCCAAUUUCUCAACUGGUAAUAGUGAAUUUGGGAUUAAUAGGAUUAAUCUUUAACAAGGCAGGACUGUUUAUAGAUACCAUCUAUUUUAAGGCUUUAUUUUAAUACAUUUUAAAAAUUUAACUUAAAAAUAUGAAAUUAUCGCUUUAAAUUAAUCUGAUAUUGUUUUAGGGGAGAGUAUUUUAUGUUACUGAUUACUGUGCCUUGAUAUUGUUUAACAGUAUAAAAUAUUUUAUAAAUAACA